CUGUGCCAAGAAAGUCCUUGUCUUCUUGAAUGCACCCUAGUUCCAACUCCAUGGCCAAUCAAAGAGGAUCCUCUUCACCCUGUGGAAGUGAAAAGCCUGCAAAUAAAGGCUUGUACAGAAACACUAGCACAGACACCCAGGUUCCUUCUGUUGGACUCCAGAGGGAUAUGUUUGAGUGAGGAGGACAAAUUGUAGUGGAUCUCUUGGGGCUCAGUUCCAUCACAGAAGACAAUUGGGAAGCCUUUCUUCACCAUGUGGUGAACACCCUGGAAAUAGCCACAGAAUACCUGAUCUGAAGUCCACAUGGAGGACUGCAUUAGGCCAAACAUGAUAUAUGUGCUCACAAGGACUAGACUUUCAAUGGCCAGUCCCCUCUUACAAAAGGAAGAGGAUCUUUACAGAUCAUCAAAUGUCAGAUACAAACAUCUCUCCUAGCUUCUCUUUUCUUAAAGAUGGAGUAAAAAUUUCUAUAAUCUUUAGCAAAGGAUUUUGAAACAUAGAUGUGGGGGUAGAGGAAGAGUGAUAAUGGAACAAAAAAUAUUUAGAAGAGAACAGAAGGAAAUUCAGGAUUUUAGACAAGUGAGGCCCUUUUAUUACUAUGACAUUAAACUUAAUGUAAGUA